ensembl:misc_RNA Metazoa_SRP Metazoan signal recognition particle RNA
GCCAGGCAUGGUGGUGCAUGCCUGUAGUCCCAGCUACUCAGGAGGCUGAGGCUGGAGGAUCGCUUGAGCCCAGGAGUUCUGGGCUGGAGUGUGCUAUGCUGAUCAGGUGUCUGCACUAAGUUCGGCUUCAAUAUGGAGACCUCCUGGGAGCCAGGGACCACUAGGUUGCCUAAGGAGGGGUGAACCGGCCCAGUUCAGAAAUGGAGCAGGUCAAAACUCCCGUGCUGAUCAGUAGUGGGAUCGUGCCUGUGAACACCCACUGCACUCCAGCCUGGGCAACAUACCGAGACCCUGUCUCUU